rnacentral:rRNA from 1 species
UACGUAGGUCCCGAGCGUUGUCCGGAUUUAUUGGGCGUAAAGCGAGCGCAGGUGGUUUAUUAAGUGUGGUGUAAAAGGCAGUGGCUCAACCAUUGUAUGCAUUGGAAACUGGUAGACUUGAGUGUAGGAGAGGAGAGUGGAAUUCCAUGUGUAGCGGUGAAAUGCGUAGAUAUAUGGAGGAACACCGGUGGCGAAAGCGGCUCUCUGGCCUGUAACUGACACUGAGGCUCGAAAGCGUGGGGAGCAAACAGG